CUUGCGUGCAUACUUCCCAGGCGGGAUACUUAACGCGUUAGCUUUGAUACUGCACAGGUCGAUCUGUUCAACAUCUAGUAUCCAUAGUUUACGGCUAGGACUACUGGGGUAUCUAAUCCCAUUUGCUACCCUAGCUUUCGUCUCUGAGUGUUAGUAAUAGCCCAGUAAAGUGCUUUCGCCAUCGGUGUUCUUUCCAAUAUCUACGCAUUUCACCGCUCCACUGGAAAUUCCCUUUACCUCUACUAUACUCUAGUCUAAUAGUUUCGACUGCGAUUUUGAAGUUGAGCCUCAAGAUUUAACAGUUGACUUAUCAAACCACCUACAGACGCUUUACGCCCAGUGAUUCCGGAUAACACUUGCAUCCUCCGUCUUACCGCGGCUGCUGGCACGGAGUUAGCCGAUGCUUAUUCUUCAGGUACACGUCAUUUUAUUCCUCCCUGAAAAAAGAGGUUUACAACCCAUAGGCAGUCUUCCCUCACGCGGUAUUGCUCCGUCAGGCUUUCGCCCAUUGCGGAAAAUUCCCCACUGCUGCCUCCCGUAGGAGUCUGGACCGUGUCUCAGUUCCAGUGUGUCUGAUCGUCCUCUCAAACCAGAUACUGAUCGUCGCCUUGGUAAGCUCUUACCUUACCAACAAGCUAAUCAGCCGCGAGCUUCUCUCUAGGCGGAUAAAUAUAAAUCCAUUUCACUCGAAAGCAUAUGGGGUAUUAGCAUUCGUUUCCGAUUGUUAUCCCCCUCCUAAAGGCAAAUUCUCACGUGUUACUCACCCGUCCGCCACUAGAGUUAAAAACUCUCGUACGACUUGCAUGUGUUAGGCAUACCGCCAGCGUUCAUCCUGAGCCAGGAUCAAACUCU
rnacentral:rRNA from 1 species